GUAAUGGUGUCUUUAGACACCACUUUUUUGUCUUCAAAACUUUGUAU
rfam:Picea glauca, whole genome shotgun sequence.